CCGACAUACCAAAGUCCUUAAGCUUCAGACUUAUUGUUAGGUCACCUUUAUCUCCAAGAAAAAUAUUUCGUCCCUGUCGGAGAUUUAUUUCAGGCUGAGCGCGCGCCAGAGAUGAUCGAUCGACAUUGCGCAGGUUCGGAAGAAAGAUUCGUAUAGCGGACGUGCUUCAGCGAAUCAUCGAGCGCAUCGAAGGAGUAUAACUUCUCGACGAAAAUAGACGGAUCAGGUAUCGAUAACGCUGAUAUUCCUUUCCGCAGGAUUUCGUCGAAUUUAAAAUGCGUUUGGCAUCGAUGCGCUCGCUUUUAGGUGGCUGCUAUGAAUUUAUUUACCUGGAAUUUGAAUUAUAUUUGAAGUAUAUUUGUUACGUUUAGUGGUUAAAUUCGAUCUAAUAAAGAACUCCACAAAUGUUAGAUCUUA